AACGAACGCUGGCGGCAUGCCUAACACAUGCAAGUCGAACGAAGCCUUCGGGCUUAGUGGCGCACGGGUGCGUAACGCGUGGGAAUCUGCCCUUAGGUACGGAAUAACUCAGGGAAACUUGUGCUAAUACCGUAUGAUGUCGAGAGACCAAAGAUUUAUCGCCUAGGGAUGAGCCCGCGUAGGAUUAGCUAGUUGGUGGGGUAAAGGCCUACCAAGGCGACGAUCCUUAGCUGGUCUGAGAGGAUGAUCAGCCACACUGGGACUGAGACACGGCCCAGACUCCGUACGGGAGGCAGCAGGUGGGAAUAGUUGGAACAAGUGGGACGAAAGCCUGAUCCAGCAAUGCCGCGUGAGUGAAG
rnacentral:rRNA from 1 species